rnacentral:rRNA from 1 species
GACGAACGCUGGCGGCGUGCCUAAUACAUGCAAGUCGAACGCACUCUCGUUUAUAUUGAAGGAUUUUGCUCCUGAUUGAUAAACAUUUGAGUGAGUGGCGGCCGGGUUAGUAACACGUGUGUAACCUGCCCUAAAGUGGGGGUAAACGUUUGGAAACAGAUGCUAAUACCGCAUAAAACCUAACACCGCAUGGUGUGGGGUUAAAAGAUGGUUUCGGCUUUCACUUUGGGAUGGACCCGCGGUGCAUUAGUUAGUUGGUGAGGUAAAGGCUCACCAAGACCGUGAUGCAUAGCCGACCUGAGAGGGUAAUCGGCCACCCUGGGACUGAGACACGGCCCAGACUCCUACGGGAGGCAGCAGUAGGGAAUCUUCCACAAUGGACGAAAGUCUGAUGGAGCAACGCCGCGUGAGUGAAGAAGGUUUUCGGAUCGUAAAACUCUGUUGUUGGAGAAGAAUGUAUCUGAUAGUAACUGAUCAGGUAGUGACGGUAUCCAAUCAGAAAGCCACGGCUAACUACGUG